CAAAUACAGGACAAUGAGGCAACACAUGCCAUGAUGAAUCAAUGGAUAGCUUUACAAAAAACAAAACAAGGGCAGCAAAAACCAAAAGAGAAUACUCCAAAACUCGUAGGCAACAUGGCUUGCUGCUCUAAGAGUGAUGCUGAGUGAUGUGACUGGAGUGGAAAGGGUUGAGCCAAGCACAUGCUAACAGCAGGACAGGGAAUGACAGGAACCAGGACAGAAAUAGAUGGAAACCACUCAACAAGCAAAACAAAGUCUGUGUUUGAAAAGACUGAAGAGUAAAUCAUGCUUUGUCUAAACUGAACACAAAAACUGAGGUCUGUUGUGAGUUUACAAACCGAAGUGGAGGCAUCACAGCAGCUACCACAGAAACGCAAAGCAUUGUACAGUGUUACUCUGAACAAUCAAUCGUAUGCCCCAAAUAGAACCUAGGAGGAAUUUCCAGACAUGUGUACCCACUGACACUGAAUGAUAAAUAGGACAUCUGUACAGUUAAAUUAAAAAAAAAAAAAAAGAAUCUAGAGAUUAGUUCAGGAAUAAAAAGCAAAAUCCCAGCCCUGAUGGCCCUACCACUAAGUUACAUCAAACCAGCCUGGUCUAUAUAGUAAACUAGUGUGGUCUACACAGUGAAGUCCAAGCCAUCUGGGGACUGCAUAGUCAGACCAUGCAUUUAAAAACAACAACAACGACGACAAUAACAACAACAAAACAAGCACCAGUAGUGUUUCAUUUGUCUGAAAGAUAAAUUAAGAGAAAAAUCUUAUUGUAAUAGUUUCCCACCCCUCCAAACCAUUAGGAGUAAAUUUGGUCAGGUAGGUAAGGCUGCCUGAACUUCUAAAACAUGAAUCUAAAAUAUUUAAAGAGAUACACAGAAAAAAAAAGAGAAUAUUUUGUCCAUGCAUUUGAAGCACUAAUGUUAAAAUGGUCUUGAGAGGCCAAACCUACUCAUUCUUGGGACUGGGCUUUAUCUUAGGGAGGGAAAAAGAAAGAAAAGAAAAGAAAAGAAAGGAAAAGAAAAGAAAAGAAAAGAAAAGAAAAGAAAAGAAGAGAAAAGAAAAGAAAAGCCUGAGAACUUGAUCCUCAGCUGAAGCCAACCAAGCUGCACCCAAGUAUCAGGAAGAAUUCCAGGACUUGUCCUUUGCCCAUACCCCAGAGUUACUCCCUAGCUACUUCCUAGCAACAGUUAAUCAAAGAUUAGUCUGAUUGUUCCAGAUGUACUUUCUGACCAUUUGUGAUUGCUCAUGGUCUUGCUUCAGAGCACCCACCUGUCAGCUUACAAUAGUCAUUCCCUUAGAUGCUUGCCAGGCUGGACACCUUUCACUUGUUCCCAUUUCCUA
rnacentral:lncRNA from 1 species